rnacentral:lncRNA from 1 species
UAUGCUACUGACUUAAGUUCGGACCUAUGAGGUCACACACAUUAGAGUUCAUGAUCCGAUCGGAUGGUUGAUCAAUGAUUAAGAAUCGUUCUAGGGUUAAACGAUCAAUAUGAUUGACAUUUAACCUAGUGCAAGUGUUGCAGGAGGAUCGAUUAGCAAUUCGAUUGCUAAUUGGCUUAAUUUGAUUAAGUCAAUGGGCUAAGAUUAAGUCUAAUUAAAUAUGAUUUAAUUAGAUUUA